GAUGAACGCUAGCGGCGGGCUUAAUACAUGCAAGUCGAGGGGCAGCAGGACUGUAGCAUUACAGUUGCUGGCGACCGGCAAACGGGUGCGGAACACGUACCCAACUUUCCCUUUACUGGGGGAUAGCCCGGGGAAACCUGGAUCAAUACCCCGUAAUAUCAUGCAGUGGCAUCCCUUUAUUAUUAAAGCUUCGGCGGUUCGGGUUGGGCGUUCGCGUGUUUAGGUAGUUGGUUGAGGUAACGGCUCCCCAAGCCUACGACCAGUAACUGCUGGGAGAGUACGACCAGUCAGACGGGCACUGAGGCACGGGCCCGGCUGCUACGGGAGAGAGGAGUAAGGAAGAUUGGGGAAUGGAGGCUACUCUAACCCAGCCAUGCCGCGUGAAGAAUGAAGGCGCUCUGGGUUGUAAACUUCUUUUAUAGAAGAGGAAACCUGUGUAUUCUUGCGGAGUUGACGGUACCCUAGGAAUAAGCACCGGCUAACUCCGUG
rnacentral:rRNA from 1 species